UUAAGUUCAGCGGGUAUCCCUACCUGAUCCGAGGUCAACCAGAAGAAGAAGUUGGUUGAGACGAAGCCGGGGGAGCAUUCAGACGCGUGCUAAGAAGCUCGCUGCAUCCAGGGUCCCGCGGACUCUGCCAUUGUCAUUCGGAUCCACCGUCGAAGCGACGGUGAGACCCAACAUCAAGCCGAGCUUGAGGGUUGAUAAUG
rnacentral:misc_RNA from 1 species